GAUUGGCUCAGAUGGCAGAGUGUCCACCUAGUAAGUGGAAGGUCAAAGGUUUGAUUCCGCUAAGAGGCA